rfam:Gossypium raimondii Chr05_contig_1021, whole genome shotgun sequence.
UAUUAAAAAUUUCAUCCAUUUGUAUUGUUAAAGUUUGACGUGGUUGAUGAAAUAACUAAAUAGUGACAUAUGACGUGCUACAUGUACAGUGACUAAUUUUUAACAGUAAAAAUGCAUAAAUUUUUUUAAUA